UAUAUUUUCACUUUUAUAUUUUCACUUUUAUAUUUUCACUUCUAUAUUUUCACUUUUAUAUUUUCACUUUUAUAUUUUCACUUUUAUAUUUUCACUUUUAUAUUUUCACUUUUAUAUUUUCAUGUUUUUGCUCAGCUUUUUACUUUUAUACAACAAUGCAUAUGUCAAACAUGAUUACAAGCUAUAGAGACAUUGUAUUUUACUGCGCGAAAUGCGUGUUACAUACUGAACGCUUGUUUAAAUAAAGAGCAUUAUCGCGCGCAUAUCAAUAACUGAGAUACGCAUACCGAAUUCGCCAUGCAUGCAGACAGCUUUAGACUCGGUUUAGACGGCGAACUUUCUCAUGCGCCGAACCCGUAAUACAACGAUUUAUAAGUACGACAGAUCUAGAAGAGCUGCAUCUAAACUCUAAAUCAGUUGCCGAGCUUGUGCGGUUGUGCCGUAAGAAAUGAAGCGCUUGAAAAUGUCGCCGUCUGAACCGAGCCUUAUUACGGGAGUAAUGCUAAUGUCUGCAUGGCGAAUUCGGUAUGCGUAUCUUAGUAAUGCGCGCGAUAAUGCUCUUUAAACAAGCGUUCUUCAGUAUGUAAUACGCAUUUCGCGCAGUCAAAAUACAACGUCUCCAUAGCUUGUAAUCAUGUUUUGACAUAUGUAUUGUUGGUAAUAUCACGACAAUUUGUAUUACUAAAUGCCUAUAAUCCCACGUUUAAGAACAUUAUAAUUACACAAAAAUAUAAAAUACAAAAUAUAAAAUACAAAAUAUAAAUUGUUGGUAAUAUCACGACAAUUUGUAUUACUAAAUGCCUAUAAUCCCACGUUUAAGAACAUUAUAAUUACACAAAAAUAUAAAAUACAAAAUAUAAAAUACAAAAUAUAAAACACAAAAAUACAAAAUAUAAAACACAAAAA